AGUGGCCUUUGAUGAUGUGAGGGGCGCUUUAUCUUAUCCGGAAACUCCAGGUUUCUUCGAAUCUUAGCCUUCGUCCCCCGCCCCCGCCGAGCUUAGCUUUAAAGAUAGGAAAUGUGGAGAAAAACCCUAAAACUCUCGCCCUUGCCUGGAAAGCAACGUUAAAUCUCUGUCUUGCCUCCCCAGAUGGAGAGGUGAAACUCUAAUAUGGCAAUUUUUUCCUGAAUUUCUGUGCUGUAAACACCGGAAAGAGCUUCACAGCCCAUCUCAACCAAGCUCUGGAUAGUUCUGGUAUCUCCUCCAUCUUCAAACACAACAACAACAAGAACAAGAGUUGCAGAGUAUUGUCGGAGAAUAUGAUGUGAUUAUGAUUAUCUUUUCCUCGCGCUAUAUCUCCUCUGUGUUCUGAGAGCUUUCGUCUUUGCUGGGUUCGCUAAGGAGAAGAUCAAUUUUUCCUGUGUUUUAUGAUGUGGAGGCUUCGCAAUAGGGGCCUUUGAGGGAGCUUUUGUGAAUUGCAGAAAUGAUGCGUUUGAUGAGGAUAUGAUGCAGAGGUGGAGAGAUGAUUUGAAACAAUUUGCUGAUCUUUCCGGUUGGGAUAUGAAGAAUCGCAAGAAUGAAGCAAAUUUGGUUCAGGAACUUGUUAGGCAUGUUUUAAACAAGUUGACGUACACAAAACCAAGGUGUGUCGCUAAUCACCCUAUUGGGCUCGAUUUUCGGAUUGAUGAUGUGAUGAGAGUCUUAGCUAAUGAUGUUUGGAUGAUUGGUAACUAUGGCAUGGGCGGUAUCGGGAAGAAUAUUCUUCAACUAAAUAGAUUUGAUUUUUGUUGCCUGUUGUUUCCUCGCUAAUGUUAAAGAAGCCUCUCGAAAAUGUUAAAGAAGCCUCUCGAAAAUAUGGUGGACUUGUCACCAUGCAAAAGCAACUUCUUAACAGAAACAACUUCUUAAAGAUCUAUUUAAUGAAGAAGAUCUGAAUAUAAUUGAUGUUGAUAAAAACAUCAAUGUUAUAAAGAGUACAAUAAGGUUUUGCUUUUACAAUAAGCAACUUGAACUCUUCAACUCCUCAAUUGGUGGGCAUGAACUCUUCCACUUCAACUAUAACUCUUCAUUUGAUGGCCAUGAACUCUUCAAUUUCAACUCUUCAAUUGGUGUUGUUGAAUCGGCGUGCAUUUGGGAGGGACCGACCCAAUCUAUUAAACUCUUUAACUCCUCAGUUGGUGGGCAUUAACUCUUCAACUUCAACUCUUCAGUUGGUUGUGUUCUUCAACUUCAACUCUUCAGUUGGUGGUGUUCAAUCGGUGUGCAUUUGAGACCAAUCUAUUAACUCUUCAACUCUUCAGUUGGUAUGCAUUUGGGGGACGGACCCAAUCUCUUCAAGAGUAUUCUGUUCAAGCCCAUAUUUGGGAGGGACCGACCCAAUCUCUUCAAGCGUAUUCUCUAGGAAGUACCUCUUGGUGCAUAUUAAGCGCAUCUAGGAAGUACCUCUUGGUGCAUAUUUGGGAGGGACUGAUUCAAUCUAUAACUCAUCAACUUCAACUCUCAGUAGUUGAUGUUAUUCAGUCGGUGUGCAAUUGGGAGGGACCGAACCAAUCUAUUAAACUCUUCAACUCCUCAGGGUAUGCAUUUGGGGGACAGACCCGAUCAACGUAUUCUCUUCAAGCGCAUCUAGGAAGUAACUCUCCAGUUGGUGCAUAUUUGGGAGGGACCGACCCAAUCAUUCCUAAUAACGGGACCAAAGCCCGUUGCCUUACCGCUUGGCCACACCCCAUUUCUAUUUCUAUUUGACGGUAAUAAACACUAAUAUCGGUAUUGGUUGUUUGUCAAUUCCAGCCCAUAUAUAUAUGGAAUAGGUUGUUGCUCGGAUUCAUCACGUGUAGAAUAAAAAUGAAUUCAUUGAUGAUUAUGUAUUAAUUCGAUUACAAUUAAGAUAUUCUAUGAAACUGAGAUUUUGAUUCCUUAGAAUUCUAAUUUAGAAUUAGAAUUGAAUUCAACAAUUGAAGGAUCUUUGAUUUGAUUCAGGUUCAAAGAAGGAUUUUUUAGACUACCUGUAUUAUCUUUAUUUUCUAUUUUCCUUUGUGUCAAAAAAUCAAUAAAAAUGAAAUUAUCUACAAGAAAAAAAUGUGAACUCUUCAACACUCUUCUCUUCAGUUGGUGUGCAUUUGAGAAGGAUCGACCCAAUCUCUUCAAGCAAAUUUGGGACGGACUGACCCAAUCUCUUCAACUCUUUAGUUAGUGUGUAUUUGGGAGGGAUUGACCUCUUCAAACUCUUUGGUGCGCAUUUGGGAGGGACCAACCCACUCAAGAAUAUCAAAAAUUGUUAGGUAAGAAUAUGUGCGGGUCCGAAUGAAUUGUUUAGUACAAGAGAGAAAAACCUGCCCACUGAGAGUUAUCACAGAGAGAGGGUUUCUUCCUUGGUAAAUAUUCAACCCCCUUAUCCUUCAAGAUGCUCUAAUAUGGUCCCCAAACGGUUCGGGCUCCUUCUCAGUCUGCUCCUUUUAUUACUCCCUCCUCCCAAAUCAGGACCCUCACCCCUCCUCAACAAAACUUGGUCUCUUCUUAUCCCCCAUAAGGUUCAAGCUUUCACUUGGAUUCUCCUCCAAGGUAAAACAUUCACCUUGGACCAACUUCAACAUAGAGGUGUUUCUUUCCCCAACUGCUGCAUUCUGUGUUUCCAUGAAGAGGAAACUAUCCCCAACCUCUUCAUCCAUUGCAAGGUCACUGUAGGAUUAUGGUCAUCCCUCCUUAAAUUCUCUGGCAUGUCCCCCCGUUAACCUAUUUAAAUCCCUUCCCCCCUUCUAAAAAAAUGGAAAAAUGGCACCUAUCUGUCCCAGCUCUGCGAUGGAGCUAGUCCCGGCUCUGCUAUGGAGCAUGUGGCUUGAGGGAAAUGCUAGAACUUUCAGAGGAACCCUCAAAACUCAACAAUCUGUUUUUGAAUCUAUCUCUAUCCUAAUCUUCCUUUGGGCGCCAAAACAAUACCAACUUUGCAUUCUAACCCAAUCUCCCACUUUUUGAUAAACGGGGACUACCUCCUUUGGGCCAAAACAAUUCCACUUUUUGAUAAAAGCAGAAAGUAUGGUUCGACGCCUGAAACUACUUUGCGUUGUGAUCCAUUUUUUAAUGGAAGAUUCAAAUCUCUUUCAUCAGAAUUAGUCUGGCUAAAGUGUUGGGGAUAUCCCCUACAAUACCUUACAGAUGGUUGUAGGAUGCAAAGCUUGCUUCCUUGAUUUCUCAUGCGACAACCUUAAAGGGGUGUGAAAAUGGAAUAGGAAAUUUAAAAAUAGUAACUUAUAUAUUUGACAUCAUCUCUUUUCUUUUCUUUUUUUUUUUGCAUAUUGGAACUCAUCACGGCUGUAUCUUCCUUACCAAGCUAUUUUUUUUUGAACAGGUUUUCUCGAACUUGAAGGUUUUGAUCUCAGCUGUUGCCCAAACUUAAAGAGAAUUUCCGACUGUUCUCCAUACCCGAACUUGGAGUAGUUGAAUCUCAGAGAUUGAUGCAAGUUGGUUAUGAUUCCUAACUCAUUCACUGGCCUUCUGGGGAAUUUGGUUUUUCUGAAUGUUGAAGAAUGCUACAUCCUCAAGGAACUGCAAGGCAUCAUUCUCCUAACCUUAUUAAAAAAACAAAAAGAAAAAAAAAGAAUGCAACAUACUCAAUGAACUGCCAAGCAAGGUUUCAGGAUUUCAUCUUCUUCAAAAGCUUAUCGAUUCAAGUUGUUGGGUGCUUAACAAGCUUUUGGAGCAGUUCGGUUUCUUAAGAUCUUUAGUAGAGCUUGAUGUUGCUGUUACUAGCAUAUUACAAUCACCUGAUUCGAUUAGAAAUUUAACUAAAUUGAGAUUUCUUCACUUGAAACAUACUAUGAUGAGAGAACUGCUAGUUUUGCUA